AAGAUAUGGUUUAGUAGCUUGUGGUAGCAAGGGGCAAAAUCAGGUCCCCGCAGUAUAGAAAGAAGGGCUUCAUAGCAAGAAAAGAGAAAGCAGCUUCACAAGGUAAACAUAAGGGGCAAAUAGAGAUAGUUUAUGUAGAGAGUAUUAGAAAACUAGGGAUUCCAAGCACUUUCACAGGCGCUAGAUCCGAAAUAACAAGGAGAGUGAAGGCCAUAAAGAUAAGGACUGGAGAACAGCUCGAAAACAUUUGGCAGGGAGGUGAUUAGAUGUCUGAAGUGCAAGCUGAAACCAGUUCGAGAGAUGCCCCCCCCUUCGGGGUCAGAAGUUUGCAGUGAGGAAGAUUAUGAGCCUUCGUGAGGAAGACUAUGAGCCUUCAUCAUCACGACCUACCACGCAUGCGCAAGGGGGGGAGGGACUGCAUGCUAAUAGGCUCUCGGGAAUGUAGUGAAUAUGUAUCCGAAAUCCUGUCAACUAUUGAUUAUGUAUUAGUUUGACCUAUAUCUAUAGCACGAUUUCUUCAGACGGUGUGAAAGUUAGGUGGAAUGAUCCCCCUUGCACCAGGGUGUACGCGCGUCACCAAUAAACACAUACCUGCUCUAUAUCCUUACUGGCUAUAGGGUCUGAUUUCCGCACAUCAAUUUGGCACCCCAGAUGGGACCCACUCUGUUCGGCUGCAGGACCGGCUGAGAGAGAGGACACCUUUGGCGCGCCCCAAGAUUUCUUGGAAGGACUCCCUUCCUCACCCGAUCACUGCGGGGACAGACAAGGACCAUCCAUAGGUGGACCAGUUUCUCAACAGAAGGCACAAAUAACUCAAUGGCAAGUAACGUAUCUGGGAUAGGAGAUUACAGCUGGACUUUGAACCUUAAGGACUGCCAGGAAAGAAGCGAUCUGCCAAACCCCUGAGCCACAAAGUGCCAAGGAACUCCAUACAUUCUCAGGAAUGACAGGAGAGUGCCAACUGUGAAUACACAGCUAUGGACUGUUGGUAAAGCCCCUUCAUGAAGUAAGUAAGAGAUGGCCAGAGUGGUUGAGGGCAGUGGCUGCACCAGUGCUCAAUAUUCAAGAACCUGGUAAAUUGACGCUAGGCCAAAG
ensembl:lncRNA